CCUACUUUUAAAAGUCAUACAGGAUAGGGGAAAACUUCAUUUCCUUCCUUGCCGUCAACCGCUAAGACUAAUAGUAUUGGUUCUAUUCAUCUGACCGUACUUCCAUCCGGUGUUAAAGCUGCGGAGCUCGAGGGAUGUCUUUAAAAAAGGUCAAGUUUUUUUCUUUUUUUAGACACGGUCGAAAGAAUACCUGAGAGAAGGAUGGGCACUUCUCAUAGUAGGCGUAGGCCCGUCGCCCUAAAACGCAUACCUGUGAUUAAUAAAAUAAGAAUAAUUUAAUGAGCCGCCCUUCUUCCCGUACAGAGUCUGUCAAACUCCGCU
rnacentral:lncRNA from 1 species